rnacentral:piRNA from 1 species
UGUCUCAACUUCGAGUAUUGCCAGUUC